rnacentral:rRNA from 1 species
UUCCCGUGUUCUUGAUGCUCCGGGCUGUUUUUAUAGCGGGAGUUCAUUUCGAGAACGCAGUGAAGCUGCUGACGAGCGGCGGACGGCUGAGUAACGCGUGGGAACAUACCCCAAACUGAGGGAUAACUACUCGAAAGAGUGGCUAAUACCGCAUGUGAUCUUCGGAUUAAAGGAUUUAUCCGGUUUGGGAAUGGCCUGCGUACGAUUAGAUAGUUGGCGAGGUAAAGGCUCACCAAGUCGACGAUCGUUAGAUGGUUUGAGAGGAUGAUCAUCCAGACUGGGACUGAGACACGGCCCAGACUCCUACGGGAGGCAGCAGUAGGGAAUCUUUCACAAUGGGCGAAAGCCUGAUGGAGCAACGCCGCGUGCAGGAUGAAGGCCUUCGGGUUGUAAACUGCUUUUAUAAGCGAGAAAUAUGAUGGUAACUUAUGAAUAAGGAUCGGCUAACUACGUGCCAGCAGCCGCGGUCAUACGUAGGAUCCGAGCAUUAUCCGGAGUGACUGGGUGUAAAGAGUUGCGUAGGUGGCAUAGUAAGUAGCUAGUGAAAUCUGGUGGCUCAACCAUUCAGACUAUUAGCUAAACUGCUAAGCUCGAGACCGUUAGGGGUAACUGGAAUUUCUAGUGUAGGAGUGAAAUCCGUAGAUAUUAGAAGGAACACCGAUAGCGUAGGCAGGUUACUGGGACGGUUCUGACACUAAGGCACGAAAGCGUAGGGAGCAAACGGGAUUAGAUACCCCGGUAGUCUACGCCGUAAACGAUGGAUACUAGCAGUUUUGGGUAUCGACCCCUAGAGUUGCGAAGCUAACGCGUUAAGUAUCCCACCUGUGUAGUACGAUCGCAAGAUUAAAACAUAAA